AACGAACGCUGGCGGCAUGCCUAACACAUGCAAGUCGAACGAGACCUUCGGGUCUAGUGGCGCACGGGUGCGUAACGCGUGGGAACCUGCCCUUAGGUUCGGAAUAACUCCCCGAAAGGGGUGCUAAUACCGGAUAAUGUCUUCGGACCAAAGAUUUAUCGCCUUUGGAUGGGCCCGCGUUGGAUUAGCUAGUGGGUAGGGUAAAAGCCUACCAAGGCGACGAUCCAUAGCUGGUCUGAGAGGAUGAUCAGCCACACUGGGACUGAGACACGGCCCAGACUCCUACGGGAGGCAGCAGUGGGGAAUAUUGGACAAUGGGCGAAAGCCUGAUCCAGCAAUGCCGCGUGAGUGAUGAAGGCCUUAGGGUUGUAAAGCUCUUUUACCCGGGAUGAUAAUGACAGUACCGGGAGAAUAAGCACCGGCUAACUCCGUG
rnacentral:rRNA from 1 species